ACUCCUGCGGGAGGCAGCAGUGGGGAAUUUUGGACAAUGGGCGAAAGCCUGAUCCAGCAAUGCCGCGUGUGUGAAGAAGGCCUUCGGGUUGUAAAGCACUUUUGUCCGGAAAGAAAUCCUUGGCUCUAAUACAGUCGGGGGAUGACGGUACCGGAAGAAUAAGCACCGGCUAACUACGUGCCAGCAGCCGCGGUAAUACGUAGGGUGCGAGCGUUAAUCGGAAUUACUGGGCGUAAAGCGUGCGCAGGCGGUUUGCUAAGACCGAUGUGAAAUCCCCGGGCUCAACCUGGGAACUGCAUUGGUGACUGGCAGGCUAGAGUAUGGCAGAGGGGGGUAGAAUUCCACGUGUAGCAGUGAAAUGCGUAGAGAUGUGGAGGAAUACCGAUGGCGAAGGCAGCCCCCUGGGCCAAUACUGACGCUCAUGCACGAAAGCGUGGGGAGCAAACAGGAUUAGAAACCCGAGUAGUCCC
rnacentral:rRNA from 1 species